GCAGAAGCUGGAGGACGCCGUCGUGCAGCGCUUCUGCCAGGAGGUCGGCGUCAAGCGCCGCGUCCUCAAGGUCUGGAUGCACAACAACAAGCACACCCUCGCCCGCCGCCACCUCCACCCCUCCCCCGCCGCCGCCGCCGGAGACGACGACGACGACGGCGCGCCGCCGCCGCACCCCGACCCCCGGCGGCGCGAGCUCGCCGCCGCCGCCGCACCACCUCCGGCUCCAGUAACCCAACACAUCAAGAAAUCCGUUGACAACAAAAGCCUCAUUUCUAGCUUAGCUGCAUUGCAUUGCAUUGCUCUACUACUGUUCCAUCAAAUUGAUGCUUAAUCCUCUCUCUCUCUUGUUUAAUUAAUUAAUCCAUGUUUUAUUUUUCUCUUGAUUUCUCUAACUUGUUGUCUAGUGUUAAUUAGUGAGCUGAUUGGUGAUCAUGUGAGUGAUGUCAAAUUUGUGGGAGGGGGGUGAAACUGAAAUCACCUGUCCAUGCACAUCCAUGACUUGUAGCUUUCACUCCCCACUGUUCAUGAUAUGAUAUGAUGUGGUCUUCAGUUCCAAGUAGUAGCUAACUACUAGAUGAUCAGCACAGCUAUCCACAGUGAUCACUGAAGCAAGUACAAUAUCGUGUGAGUGAUCAGCAGCUAAUAAUUCCAAUUUGUGUGUCUCCUUGUUCUUGUUGUUAGUUAGCAUCAUCAGCCUCUGAUACCUCUGACCAGAUUAGCUAUAGCUAGCAAGCAAGCAAGAAUGGUCUAAUCAAUAAUGGAUGGCAUAACACAAAUGAUUGAUGAAGUGUAUGUGUGUUUUUGACAAACUGGCUCAAUUAUUCUUUUGAUGGGGGG
rnacentral:lncRNA from 1 species